UGGACGAAAGUUUGACGGAGCAACGCCGCGUGAACGAAGAAGGUCUUCGGAUUGUAAAGUUCUGUGAUUCGGGACGAAAAGGGUUUGUGGUGAAUAAUCAUAGACAUUGACGGUACCGAAAAAGCAAGCCACGGCUAACUACGUGCCAGCAGCCGCGGUAAU
rnacentral:rRNA from 1 species